GUGGGGAAUCUUGCGCAAUGGGCGAAAGCCUGACGCAGCCAUGCCGCGUGAAUGAUGAAGGUCUUAGGAUUGUAAAAUUCUUUCACCGGGGAAGAUAAUGACGGUACCCGGAGAAGAAGCCCCGGCUAACUUCGUGCCAGCAGCCGCGGUAAUACGAAGGGGGCUAGCGUUGCUCGGAAUUACUGGGCGUAAAGGGCGCGUAGGCGGACAGCUUAGUCAGAGGUGAAAGCCCAGGGCUCAACCUUGGAAUUGCCUUUGAUAUUGGCUGUCUUGAGUUUGGGAGAGGUGAGUGGAACUCCGAGUGUAGAGGUGAAAUUCGUAGAUAUUCGGAAGAACACCAGUGGCGAAGGCGACUCACUGGCCCAAUACUGACGCUGAGGCGCGAAAGCGUGGGGAGCAAACAGGAUUAGAAACCCCGGUAGUCC
rnacentral:rRNA from 1 species